rnacentral:rRNA from 1 species
GAGUUUGAUCCUGGCUCAGGAUGAACGCUGGCGGCGUGCUUAACACAUGCAAGUCGAACGGGGUACCCCCAAAGGAGUUUUCGGACAACUGCGGGGAAUACCUAGUGGCGGACGGGUGAGUAACGCGUGAGUAACCUGCCUUGGAGUGGGGAAUAACAGCUGGAAACAGCUGCUAAUACCGCAUAAUGCAGUUGGGUCGCAUGGCUCUGACUGCCAAAGAUUUAUCGCUCUGAGAUGGACUCGCGUCUGAUUAGCUAGUUGGUGGGGCAACGGCCCACCAAGGCGACGAUCAGUAGCCGGACUGAGAGGUUGGCCGGCCACAUUGGGACUGAGACACGGCCCAGACUCCUACGGGAGGCAGCAGUGGGGAAUAUUGGGCAAUGGGCGCAAGCCUGACCCAGCAACGCCGCGUGAAGGAAGAAGGCUUUCGGGUUGUAAACUUCUUUUCUCAGGGACGAAGCAAGUGACGGUACCCGAGGAAUAAGCCACGGCUAACUACGUGCCAGCAGCCGCGGUAAUACGUAGGUGGCAAGCGUUAUCCGGAUUUACUGGGUGUAAAGGGCGUGUAGGCGGGAAAGCAAGUCAGAUGUGAAAACCAUGGGCUCAACCUGUGGCCUGCAUUUGAAACUGUUUUUCUUGAGUACUGGAGAGGCAGACGGAAU